UAGGUUGUAUAAUAUAAAAUCUUGUACUAUUGUAUAUUGACAUAUACAGUAUGGGCACUUUUCAUAUUUUAAAAAAUACAUAUCAUUUUUGACAAAUUCUUUUUUUUUGUCAAACUACCAAUAAAAACACCUUUAAAAAAAUUUACUACCUUUCUAUUAUGAUUUUUUCAUACUUUCCAACCUCCUUAUAUGUGCCAUAAUCACUUUUCUCCUUGUCGCACACCCAGACUUUAAAACUUCAACAAUGAAAAUACAGUUUAAAAAUAUGACUUAUCUGGUAACUAUUAAUGUACCCGAAUUAAACACUAGUAAAUUCAUUAAAAUUCAUUAUAGUAAUUAAUGUGAGACUACUAUCAAUAUUACUUUUUAUACAAAAUAUAGCUGUCACACAGUAUUGGUGUCAUUUCCACCUAAUGCUGUAAUGUCCCUUUAAAAAGUUUGGGUGAAAGAUUGUUUAGGUGGUUUCUAUGGAAACGUUCAGGGACAUCAGAGCACAUGAUGGACUUGGAGGGAAUGUAAAAUUUUCAUCAACAACAAAUGAAGAAAAAUCAAGAUGCGGUCACAGGUCUAUAGGGACAAAAUGAAAGCUGACCCUAUAAAAUAUGAAGAGAGACUUAAAAGAGACAGGGAAAGAUUACCUGAGGAAAAAUGAAAAAGGAGUAGUAAAAGCAAUUGCAGAUCUGUCAAAGUGGGAGCAAGCAAAGGAGAUCAAAGAAAAUCAAAGAAAUAGACGAGAGGAGAUUAAAAAACCCUCACAAUGUAGGCCUACCUUUCCAUAUCAGAUGGGCUGGAAGAAACUCACUUGGAACUUUCUGGAGGCUGGCCAUGGAAAAGGCCCUGCUGAUGGGAUAGGAGCAGCAGUGAAAAGAAGAGCUGAUGACAUCAUAGCUAGAGGGAAGGACAUACUAAAUGCUCGGGUGCUCUUUGAGGAGCUUCAACAGCAAAAGUCUGCCAUAGAGCUCUUCUAUGUUGAGCCAGAAGAAAUUGAGUGUAUGGACAUUCAUGUGCCAUCCGAGCUACAUUACAAACAAUCCGUGGCACAAUGAAGAUUCAUCAGAUAACCUCUGCUAGCCCAAGCCAAUUGUCAUGGAGAAUCCCUAGUUGCUUUUGCUCUCACCUCAUGACUGCAAAUGCUUCAAUCCAGAAACAGUCAUGUUCCAGCAUUGGGACGAAGCUUCUCCCUCAACCAGUACAUCACAUCCUGAUACACCUCAAAUAGGUCUGCGGCACAUUGUGGACUUGAACGAGGGACACGUUGGUCAGUAGUGUGCUGUGAAGUAUGAUGGAGAUAUUUAUCCUGUCAUCAUACAGGAUAUGAUGUCUACAGUGGUGCUCUGGUUAAAACCAUGAGCCGUGUUGGUCUCAAUCGUUUUUUGCCUCUAAGGGAUGACAUAAUCUGGUACCAAACCAAGAACAUCAUAGGCCUAAUCCCUGAGAAUGUACCAGUGACCAAACAUCACAAGGAAAUGAUUGUGUCUGUCUGGGAAGAAAUAUGUGAAACACUUAAUUAGAUGUGGCCUCGAAUCACAUCACACACAUACGAAUUACAUACACACACAUGCGCACAUGAGCAAACGCUCUCUCUCUCACACACAUGCAAACGUACAUACAUUCACACAUUCAAGAUGCUCAAAAUUUUCCACAUUCCACAUCUCUGUUUAAAUGUUACAGUUUCAGGUGUUCUUUACAGUUACUCUUUACAGAAGAUGAGUGUUCAUUUAAGAGACCAAUAAGAACAUUUCAGAACAUUAACCUCAUAAUUAUCUCACAUUGUUGAAUUUUUUUAUGCAUCUUUUAUUGCUUGUAUUUUCCCUGGCCAUCAGUUGUGUCAGUUCUUUACAGCAUGCACUGUAACCGUUCAUCUGUGAGACAAAUCAGUUUUAUACAUCAGCCACACCUGUUUUAGUGCUGAGUUUGUUUAAUGACUCUGUGAAUUGAGUUUACUGAGUUUACAUAUUUUUCUAACAAAUAUAUCUACUGUUUCUCUACAUUCACGUUACAUUCAUUGUAAUUUCCACCACACCCUGUCAUUUCCAUCACCACACACAUUUUUUUUAAAUAUUUAAAAAGUUCUCAUCACACUAAAUAUUUAUCCACAAUUUAUGAUAUUGUGCUCUACUUAGUAUAAAUAUUCAUGUUAUUUAUUUUCAAAUAAACUCUUACCAAACCUAAUAUUAAAUUUCAGAGCAUUGGUCCUUAGUGCAGUUAAUUUAUCUCAUUAACAAAUAUCAUAAUAUCUCAUAUCAAAUAUAUAAUUAAUGUACAUUGUGGAAAAACUGGUAAAACUAGUUACAAAAAUGAUCUUAGACAAUUCUUGAGUGGCAUAAAUUAUUCUAUUUUUUAAUAACAGCUGUAUAUUGAGAUGUGGUGGAAAUGACAUUUGUUCAUUGCAGGUCAGAAAAAAUGUAAAAUAUUAACAGUUUCUCUUGUAAUCUAAGUUUGUCCUCUAACAGACCUUAAAACUAGAGAAAUUAUUUAAACUUAUGAGAAUGUGUUACCUAACUUUUGAUCAAGUUUUUUUUGUUCAACUUCACAAAGCUAAAAGUGCCCCUAGUUGAAGAAACACCCAUAUAGACCUUAGCACAUGUGUAGGUGCAGUGUGUGUGUGCAGUGUGUGCGUGCAGCUUUUCAUUCCACUCAAGCAGCCUGAUUAAUCAGAGACACACUUGAUUAAUCAGUAUAUCUUGGCUUUCAGUAAACUCAGCCAUGGCGGCUUCUUGGUUGGACUGAAAACCUGCACCUACACCACCCUGGACUAUAGAUUAAAAACAUUUAGACAGAAUAGGAGAUGAAAGUAAUUAGGCCAAUUUGAGACUAUCCUGUCUCAGUUUCCUGAAUGAAUCCACCUCGAAUACCUUCCUUUGUCCCUGCAGCCGGCUGCACAAGCUUAUAUUAUCCACUUACCUGUAGAUUUCCCCAACAUCAUGCUAGUCUGACCUAAUGAUGUAGUCCAAGUCAAGAGCAUACAUCACCUUCAGAUGACUUCUUGUUGUUACUGUAAUAAUAAAAUCAAAUCAAAAUAAUAAAAUGUUUUCACUGACUCUGGAAAAAUACUUCAUGAGAAUUCAUUUGAAACUUGUGCAAAGUUUAUUUUCUAGCCAAGG